AGGACGAACGCUGGCGGCGUGCCUAACACAUGCAAGUCGAACGAGGUCCAACCGGUGGCAACACUGGUGAAGACCGAGUGGCGAACGGGUGAGUAACACGUGAGCAACCUGCCUCGAAGACUGGGAUAACCCCGGGAAACCGGAGCUAAUACCGGAUACCCCCACCGGGUCGCAUGGCCUGGUGAGGAAAUGGAUUCCGCUUUGAGAGGGGCUCGCGGCCUAUCAGCUUGAUGGUGGGGUAAUGGCCUACCAUGGCACCGACGGGUAGCUGGUCUGAGAGGACGAUCAGCCACACUGGGACUGAGACACGGCCCAGACUCCUACGGGAGGCAGCAGUGGGGAAUCUUGCGCAAUGGGCGAAAGCCUGACGCAGCAACGCCGCGUGUGGGACGAAGGCCUUCUGGGUUGUAAACCACUUUCAGCAGGGACGAUUGUGACGGUACCUGCAGAAGAAGCCCCGGCAACUACGUGCCAGCAGCCGCGGU
rnacentral:rRNA from 1 species